GAGUUUGAUCAUGGCUCAGGACGAACGCUGGCGGCGUGCUUAACACAUGCAAGUCGAGCGGAAAGGCCCUUCGGGGUACUCGAGCGGCGAACGGGUGAGUAACACGUGAGCAACCUGCCCUAGGCUUUGGGAUAACCCCGGGAAACCGGGGCUAAUACCGAAUAUGACCUGGCCUCGCAUGAGGCUUGGUGGAAAGUUUUUCGGCCUGGGAUGGGCUCGCGGCCUAUCAGCUUGUUGGUGGGGUGAAGGCCUACCAAGGCGACGACGGGUAGCCGGCCUGAGAGGGCGACCGGCCACACUGGGACUGAGACACGGCCCAAACUCCUACGGGAGGCAGCAGUGGGGAAUAUUGCACAAUGGGCGGAAGCCUGAUGCAGCGACGCCGCGUGAGGGAUGACGGCCUUCGGGUUGUAAACCUCUUUCAGCAGGGACGAAGCGUAAGUGACGGUACCUGCAGAAGAAGCGCCGGCCAACUACGUGCCAGCAGCCGCGGUAAGACGUAGGGCGCGAGCGUUGUCCGGAUUUAUUGGGCGUAAAGAGCUCGUAGGCGGCUUGUCGCGUCGACUGUGAAAACCCGCAACUCAACUGCGGGCCUGCAGUCGAUACGGGCAGGCUAGAGUUCGGUAGGGGAGACUGGAAUUCCUGGUGUAGCGGUGAAAUGCGCAGAUAUCAGAGGAACACCGGUGGCGAAAGCGGGUCUCUGGGCCGAUACUGACGCUGAGGAGCGAAAGCGUGGGGAGCGAACAGGAUUAGAUACCCUGUAGUCCACGCUGUAAACGUUGGGCGCUAGGUGUGGGGGGCCUCUCCGGUUCCCUGUGCCGCAGCUAACGCAUUAAGCGCCCCGCCUGGGGAGUACGGCCGCAAGGCUAAAACUCAAAGGAAUUGACGGGGCCCCGCACAAGCAGCGGAGCGUGUGGUUUAAUUCGAUGUUACGCGAAGAACCUUACCCGGGUUUGACA
rnacentral:rRNA from 1 species